CUACUGUGCUACUAUCUCUGUCCCAUAAUAAUUUUAUUUUUCGUCUUAUCUGAAAUUUUUUUGCGAUUAAUAUUUUUAUUGUUACUAGAUGAUAAAAUAUGAAUAGUACUUUAUUUGUGACUAUUUUUAAAAGUUUUUAUAUAAAUUUUUUAAAUAAGAUAAAUGGUCAAACAUUAGACAUGAAAAAAC
rnacentral:pre_miRNA from 1 species